UUACAAUUUCAGGGGCCUGGUGAUGUAUUCUUCCCUAUGAAGUUUUUACUAAUAUCUGUAAUCAUGGGAUAUCACUAUACCUAUGCUAAACAAAAAUGACUGUUUGGCAGUUGAAGACCUUGCAGAUGUGCAUAUGAAUAGUUUCUGAUAAAUUAUGAUAUUUUCAUUAAAAUACUUAGUGGAGUGACUAUAGGGCUGACUGUGUGCCUACAGGUUUCAAGUCAAAAGUAUUAACUGAACACUUUAGGAGACAUUUUUAAACUUCCUAUUUAUAUGUAGUUAGCACUUCCAUACUUGGCACUCAGAAAUGUUGCCUUAUAUAACAAGGCAAAUAAAUGACUAGCUGUUUCAUUCUUAUUCUUUAUUUAAAGUUGAUUUUUAAAAUUAUAUAAUGACACAGAACUAAUUCCCUUUAACUGCAGGCCGUUUUUUGCUUGUUUGUUUCAGCUGGAAACUAAUGCAUGUUAACAUUUAACUACAUGCCUUACUUGACAUACUUUUUUUGUCUAAUACUUAACCUCUGAACCUACAGUCUCAUAAGCAUGCUGAAGAAUGAAAAAGAAGACAGGGUGGGUGGCUGUGCAAUCCUGCAAACAUCAUUGUUUCAUAGGAUCUGCAAGUGACAUGUUUUCCUUUAUAUUCAAUGGGAGCAAUGUUGGAAUACAUCUGACCCAUCUGACCAAAGGUAGCUAUGCACAGAGAAAAGAACAGGAAGACACAGAGAAGAAGACUUCCUGCCAGUUAAGAUCUGUGUAUCUCCCAUCCCCUACCCUUCCAUCUCCCUCUCUCUUUUUUUUUCUUUCUCUCUAGUCUUCUUUCACAUCCAGUUGCCUUAUUUAAAGAUGUCCUUCAGCAGAACAAAAGAAAUGGGUUCUUGAGCAGAAACCAAAGUUGGGGGCCUCCAGACGUCUUGAACUUACUGCUUAUGCUUCUGAAUGGUACAGCACUGUGGAACACACAUUGAGUUUUCUCAUGAGUAUAAUUCAUCCUGUGGUGCACUUGGUUUAAUAAAAGAUUGAAUGAGGUGCUUUUUCA
rnacentral:lncRNA from 1 species